CAGCCGCCGCGGUAAUACGGAGGGGGCUAGCGUUGUUCGGAAUUACUGGGCGUAAAGCGCGCGUAGGCGGCUUGGAAAGUCAGAUGUGAAAUCCCGAGGCUUAACCUCGGAACUGCAUUUGAAACUAUCAGGCUAGAGUUUGUUAGGGGAGUGUGGAAUUUCUAGUGGAGCGGUGAAAUGCGUAGAUAUUAGAAGGAACACCAGUGGCGAAGGCGACACUCUGGGACAAUACUGACGCUGAGGUGCGAAAGCGUGGGGAGCAAACAGGAUUAGAUA
rnacentral:rRNA from 1 species